GAUGAAGAACGCAGCGAAAUGCGAUAAGUAGUGUGAAUUGCAGAACUCAGUGAAUCAUCGAAUCUUUGAACGCACAUUGCGCCCCUUGGUAUUCCAUGGGGCAUGCCUGUUCGAGCGUCAUUUGUACCUUCAAGCUCUGCUUGGUGUUGGGUGUUUGUCUCGCCUCUGCGUGUAGACUCGCCUCAAAACAAUUGGCAGCCGGCGUAUUGAUUUCGGAGCGCAGUACAUCUCGCGCUUUGCACUCAUAACGACGACGUCCAAAAGUACAUUUUUACACUCUUGACCUCGGAUCAGGUAGGGAUACCCGCUGAACUUAAGCAUAUCAAUAAGCGGAGGA
rnacentral:misc_RNA from 1 species